rnacentral:rRNA from 1 species
UGGGGAAUAUUGCACAAUGGAGGGAACUCUGAUGCAGCGACGCCGCGUGAACGAAGAAGGCUUUCGAGUCGUAAAGUUCUUUUAUAUGGGAAGAUAAUGACGGUACCAUAAGAAAAAGCCCCGGCUAACUACGUGCCAGCAGCCGCGGUAAUACGUAGGGGGCUAGCGUUGUCCGGAAUCACUGGGCGUAAAGGGUUCGCAGGCGGAGAUGCAAGUCAGGUGUAAAAGGCAGUAGCUUAACUACUGUAAGCAUUUGAAACUGCAUAUCUUGAGAAGAGUAGAGGUAAGUGGAAUUUUUAGUGUAGCGGUGAAAUGCGUAGAUAUUAAAGAGAAUACCGGUGGCGAAGGCGGCUUACUGGGCUCAUUCUGACGCUGAGGAACGAAAGCGUGGGUAGCAAACAGG